UACGGAGGGUGCAAGCGUUAUCCGGAUUCACUGGGUUUAAAGGGUGCGUAGGAGGGUUGGUAAGUCCGUGGUGAAAUCUCUGAGCUUAACUCAGAAACUGCCGUGGAUACUACCAGUCUUGAAUAUCGUGGAGGUGAGCGGAAUAUGUCAUGUAGCGGUGAAAUGCUUAGAUAUGACAUAGAACACCCAUUGCGAAGGCAGCUCACUACCCGAAGAUUGACUCUGAGGCACGAAAGCGUGGGGAUCAAACAGG
rnacentral:rRNA from 1 species